rnacentral:rRNA from 1 species
UACGUAGGGUGCGAGCGUUAAUCGGAAUUACUGGGCGUAAAGCGCACGUAGGCGGCUUCUUAAGUCGGUGGUGAAAUCCCGGGGCUCAACCCCGGAACUGCCUUUGAUACUGGGUAUCUCGAGUCCGAGAGAGGUGAGUGGAAUUCCGAGUGUAGAGGUGAAAUUCGUAGAUAUUCGGAGGAACACCAGUGGCGAAGGCGGCUCACUGGCCCGGUACUGACGCUGAGGUGCGAUAGCGUGGGGAGCAAACAGG